rnacentral:rRNA from 1 species
UCGGAACAGGAUUANAUACCCCUGGUAGUCCCACGCCGUAAANCGAAUGAUUAACUAGUUGUUUGCAAUAAANUCGUAAGCGACAAAGCGAAAGCAUUAAGUAAUCCCACCUGGGGAGUACGUUGGCAACAAUGAAACUCAAAGGAAUUGACGGGGGCCCGCACAAGCGGAGGAACAUGUGGUUUAAUUCGAUGAUACGCGAGGAACCUUACCUGGACUUAAAUGUAGAUUGACAGGCUUAGAGAUAGGCUUUUCUUCGGACAAUUUACAAGGUGCUGCAUGGUUGUCGUCAGCUCGUGCCGUGAGGUGUCGGGUUAAGUCCCAUAACGAGCGCAACCCACGUUGUUAGUUACCAGCACAUAAUGGUGGGCACUCUAACAAGACUGCCGGUGUAAACCGCGAGGAAGGUGUGGAUGACGUCAAAUCAGCACGGCCCUUACGUCCAGGGCUACACACGUGUUACAAUGGUCGGUACAGAGGGCAGCUACAGGGUGACCUGAUGCCAAUCUCCAAAACCGGUCUCAGUUCGGAUCGAAGUCUGCAACCCGACUUCGUGAAGCUGGAUUCGCUAGUAAUCGCAUAUCAGCCAUGAUGCGGUGAAUACGUUCCCGGGCCUUGUACACACCGCCCGUCAAACCAUGGAAGCCGAGGGUACCUGAAGUCUGUCACCGUAAGGAGCGGCCUAGGGUAAAACUGGUAACCUAGGGUUAAGUCGUAACAAGGUAA